rnacentral:rRNA from 1 species
UACGGAGGAUGCGAGCGUUAUCCGGAUUUAUUGGGUUUAAAGGGUGCGUAGGCGGGUUAUCAAGUCAGCGGUAAAAUCGUGGAGCUCAACUCCAUCCAGCCGUUGAAACUGAUGAUCUUGAGUGGGCGAGAGGUAUGCGGAAUGCGUGGUGUAGCGGUGAAAUGCAUAGAUAUCACGCAGAACUCCGAUUGCGAAGGCAGCAUACCGGCGCCCGACUGACGCUGAAGCACGAAAGCGUGGGUAUCGAACAGG